rnacentral:tRNA from 1 species
GGGGUUGUGGCUCAGUGGUAGAGCAUACACCUAGCAUGUGUGAGGGCCUGGGUUUGAUCCUUAGAACCACA